rnacentral:rRNA from 1 species
AACUGUUAGCGUAUACCUGCCCACUGAUUUAUUUAAUUAAAGGGCCGCGGUAUUUUGACCGUGCAAAGGUAGCAUAAUCAUUAGUUUUUUAAUUGAAGACUUGUAUGAAUGGUUGAAUGAGAUAUAUGUUGUGUCGUAAAAUUUUUAUUUAAACUUUAUAUUUUAGUUAAAAAGCUAAAAUAAUUUUUAAAGACGAGAAGACCCUAUAAAUCUUUAUAUUUAAAUUAAUUUAAUUAAUAAAGAAUUUUAUAAAUAAUUUAAAUUAAAUUUUUUGGAAUAUUUUAUUGGGGUGAUAUUAAAAUUUAAUUAACUUUUAAUUUUUUGUUCAUUAUUAAAUGUAAAAAAUUGAUCCAACAUUUUUGAUUAAAAAUUUAAGUUACUUUAGGGAUAACAGCGUAAUUUUUUUGGAGAGUUCAAAUCGAUAAAAAAGAUUGCGACCUCGAUGUUGGACUAAGAAUUAAUUUAGGUGUAGAAGUUUAAAUUUUGAGUCUGUUCGACUUUUAUUUCUUACGUGAUCUGAUCCAAACCCGGGAAGACCCCCCCCCCGCCCAACCCCCCCCCACCUCUGCCGCACCGCCCCCCCGCCCACCCCAACCCCCCCCCCCCCCCCCCAACCCCCCCCCCCCCCCCCGCCCCGCCCACC